rfam:Ictidomys tridecemlineatus contig017728, whole genome shotgun sequence.
UCAGGGUGGUGGCUGGGGGCAGCCUCAUGGUGGUGGAGGCUGG